rnacentral:rRNA from 1 species
GAUGAACGCUAGCUACAGGCUUAACACAUGCAAGUCGAGGGGAAACGAUAGAGAAAGCUUGCUUUUUCUAGGCGUCGACCGGCGCACGGGUGAGUAACGCGUAUCCAACCUGCCCAUCACUUGGGGAUAACCUUGCGAAAGUAAGACUAAUACCCAAUGACGUCUCUAGAAGACAUCUGAAAGAGAUUAAAGAUUUAUCGGUGAUGGAUGGGGAUGCGUCUGAUUAGCUUGUUGGCGGGGUAACGGCCCACCAAGGCGACGAUCAGUAGGGGUUCUGAGAGGAAGGUCCCCCACAUUGGAACUGAGACACGGUCCAAACUCCUACGGGAGGCAGCAGUGAGGAAUAUUGGUCAAUGGACGAGAGUCUGAACCAGCCAAGUAGCGUGCAGGAUGACGGCCCUAUGGGUUGUAAAACUGCUUUUAUAAAGGGAANAAAGUGAGUCUCGUGAGACUUUUUGUCAU